AUUGAACGCUGGCGGCAGGCCUAACACAUGCAAGUCGAGCGAGCGGAGGACGGGUGAGGACUGUCUGGGAAACUGCCUGAUGGAGGGGGAUAACUGCGGGAAACGGUAGCUAAUCCCGCAUACCAUCAGAUGUGGCGAGAUGGGAUUAGCUGGUAGGUGGGGUAACGGCUCACCUAGGCGACGAUCCCUAGCUGGUCUGAGAGGAUGAACAGCCACACUGGAACUGAGACACGGUCCAGACUCCUACGGGAGGCAGCAGUGGGGAAUAUUGCACAAUGGGCGCAAGCCUGAUGCAGCCAUGCCGCGUGUGUGAAGAAGGCCUUCGGGUUGUAAAGCACUUUUAGCGGGGAGGCGUUACCCGCAGAAGAAGCACCGGCUAACUCCGUGCCAGCAGCCGCGGUAAUAC
rnacentral:rRNA from 1 species